AACGCGAAGAACCUUACCAGGGAUGUGACAUGACGGUAGUAGUGAAGCGAAAGCGGAACGACCCUUCGGGGAGCCGUCACAGGUGAUGCAUGGCUGUCGUCAGCUCGUGCCGUGAGGUGUUUGGUUAAGUCCACUAACGAGCGCAACCCCUAGUGCCAGUUACAAGUGUCUGGCGCGACUGCCGGUAUUAAGCCGGAGGAAGGUGGGGAUGACGUCAAGUCAGCAUGUCCUUUAUACCCUGGGCGACACACACGCUACAAUGGCCAGCACAAUGGGUCGCCAAGCCGUGAGGCGGAGCCAAUCCUAAAAAGCUGGUCUCAGUUCGGAUUGCAGGCUGCAACCCGCCUGCAUGAAGUCGGAGUUGCUAGUAACCGCAGGACAGCUAUACUGCGGUGAAUACGUUCCCGGGUCUAGUACACACCG
rnacentral:rRNA from 1 species